ACCAGGAGGGUGCUCCAAGGAGCAAAACCCUAGUUCACACUAAAUGACCAAAUUGAAGCUCGAAUCAAGACUCAAAUCACUGCAUGAACACAUAAAAACGAUUACCUAGUCAUGGGGAUCACAAGUUUGACGAUUAACAAGCUAGGUGAAAGCUUGGGAACGAAGCGGGUCAAACGAAGCAAGAAUGACGGAAAAGCAUAAUUUGGAUGUAAGGAGUAAAUGUCAAAUGAGUAUUAGCAACAUUAUGGAUUAGCGGUUAUAAAAGCAAGGUAUUAAAAACGGGUCAAUAU